AGUCAGCUACCAACUCAGAGCCUUCAUAAAAGCGUACUCUGCGGACAACACAGCCCAAGCCGGUCUUCAGGAACCUCAAACCCAAGUCAAGGCUGAUUUCCUGGUCAGGAGAUUGCAACUGGUCUACAUAAGCUGUCGUUGGUGUCGUUCUGCACGUUUGAGGAAUGAGCAAGUAAGUACAUGGUCUAAAUUUCAAAGAUGUAGCCUAAGCCAUCCUCGUUUCUGAGAAGAGUUUUUAGUGCUUGUUUUUUAAAUAGUCCUAUAGGGAAAUGAGGCAGAUGGCAUUGGCUCAUGUGAAGAUCCGUUCCUGCCGCAUGUGGUACAGGCCUGGCAGUGGGGAGACCAAGGUGAAAGGAGAUACAGGCACUGUCUUCAGGGAGUUGAUAGUCCAGAGGAGAAGAGACCAUAAAAGGGACCCACCGCAGUGCAGCAUGAAUAUUCGUGAACAAGCCACCAUACAGGGCAGGUGUGGAUAGGAGGCUUACCCAGGCCUUGCCUCACAGUGGUCAGCAUGGCAGAAAGGGGGUCACCACUCAAGCACCUCCUUCCCCAAUGCUGACACCUCCCGUGCAGAAAGUCCCUCCCAGUUGGGCCGUAAUGUCCAGCUGGUUAGUUUGAGCUUGGGUGUCUUUCUCCUACUACUUUUCUGGGAGCCAUGGCCUGAGUCUUGGAAGCAUGCCCUUGGAGGGCCAUCCGGGGUCAGGACUGCUCAGGGCAGUGAAGGCUCUGUGACGCAAAAUGAGGAUGUGCUUUGCUUCAAGUGCAAGGUGAGAUGUCUUCCACGUACCUUAUGUAGCCCACCUGGGGCCUGUGCUGCAGGAACCAGCGGUAGGACACCUUGUCCUUCCAGCCCACGUUCCUCGAGUCCUUCCACAGCAGCCGGACCUGGUCACUCGUGUCCCCGGUGUGCCACAGGGAGUUGCGGAGAUGCUCCCCUGGGCCUGUCUUAGACUUAACAGCCUGGAAAGGACACGAGCACGGAGUGAGGGAGGCAGCGGCUCAGCCCUCCUGUACACAGCUGGCCCCAUGAAGGGAACAGAUUAGCCAGUUAAACUGGGAUCAGAAGAAGAUCAGAGAGGCAGACCAGCCCCAUGAGGAGCUGCAACGAGUGGAUUCUAUACACGUGCUCCUGAUGCCCUGGACAUACCCACUGCCAGGCCAGGAUCGCUGUUCAUAGUCUGCACAAUCUCCAUGCCCUGCAGAGAGAGUUGAAGGCCAUCUUAGAGGCUGGAGAAAGCUCAAGGAAGCCCAGAGCCUCCGGCAGCAUUGGUGAGUGGUCAGCAAGGUCUGACCUCCACACAAAGAUUUAAUUACCUGAGGAACUGUUCUACCUUGUUAUGUCCUCCAAGAAAGCACAUACUUGUGAGGGGGGAAAGAGAAGCUGAAUAGAGAUUAUUUUGCUAAAACUGUAAUUAAGGGUUUACUGAAUCAGCUUAAUCGAGAGAACAUAGACUUCUAAUGAAUGUGAUUUCCUGGGUGACACUAAAAAACCUAAGCCUC